AUGGCCAAUAGCGAGUAUGAGUAUGCAAAGAGUGAGUUCGAGUUCAACCGCCGCCGCCCAGCCUCCAACUGGAUUGUCAUCCACAUCGAUGGCUGCCAUUUCCACCGAUUCUCAAAGAUGCAUGCCUUUGAGAAACCAAAUGAUGAGAAUGCUUUAAGAUUGAUGAACGAUUGUGCCACUUCUAUGCUCAAGAAAUUCCUGACAUAG
rnacentral:rRNA from 1 species